rnacentral:rRNA from 1 species
AUGCAGAUGCUGAGUCCCGGGCUUCCCCGAACUUGGCUCUCCAGGCUGCAAUCGACGGAGGCCGGCCUUGCUUAUCUCCCCUCAUGGCCGAUCAAGGAGGCGAACAGUGUCAAUCUGUCAUCGACACCUCAGGGUAUGGCCGCCACAUCUGGUCUAAAAAACAAGCACCGGGUCCUUCUCCUCCAUGAAUCAGAUGUCAACAAGGCAACACGAAUCUGCAUGAGGCUGAACAUAAAAGAAAGAAAAUGGAGACAACUCGACGAGUUUAGGAACAACAUGUCAUCGACGAUGAGCACUUUUCCAGUCAGGGAAAGGAUUUUUUUAUGCCACGCUAGGACUUUUCGUGGUAUGGAUUGA